rnacentral:snRNA from 1 species
GGAUGUGAGGGCGAUCUGGUUGCAACAUCUGUCACCCCAUUAUGGUCAGGAUUGAUUCCACUGGUCUGGCUGGCUAGGUGGGUGUCCCCUUCCUCCUUCUCCGCUCCACCCCAAAUUGAGACGGACUGGUCUAUAGUCGAAGGUAUAUGAAAUAAAAUCAAAUGAUAACUUUUGCACUUUGUUCUUUCUGAACAUCAAUGUAAUUUUAAACAAUUUUUAAAAAAUAAAUAAAAUCACUAUCAACUUAAACCUUAGAAUAUGUGAAUGG